rnacentral:tRNA from 1 species
GCCGGGGUGGCUCAGCCUGGUAGAGCGUCGGACUCAUAGGGUAGUAUAGUUCCGGCUAUGCCUGGGACAUCCGAAGGUCGCGGGUUCAAACCCCGCCCCCGGCA